AUCCAAUUGACGAGUCCCAAUCAGGACGAAUUGGCGCGCGUCCUGAAU
rnacentral:hammerhead_ribozyme from 1 species